rnacentral:rRNA from 1 species
UGGGGAAUAUUGGACAAUGGGCGAAAGCCUGAUCCAGCAAUGCCGCGUGAGUGAUGAAGGCCCUAGGGUUGUAAAGCUCUUUUACCCGGGAUGAUAAUGACAGUACCGGGAGAAUAAGCUCCGGCUAACUUCGUGCCAGCAGCCGCGGUAAUACGAGGGGAGCUAGCGUUGUUCGGAAUUACUGGGCGUAAAGCGCGCGUAGGCGGUUUUUUAAGUCAGAGGUGAAAGCCCGGGGCUCAACCCCGGAAUUGCCUUUGAAACUGGAAAACUAGAAUCUUGGAGAGGUCAGUGGAAUUCCGAGUGUAGAGGUGAAAUUCGUAGAUAUUCGGAAGAACACCAGUGGCGAAGGCGACUGACUGAACAAGUAUUGACGCUGAGGUGCGAAAGCGUGGGGAGCAAACA